UGGCCUAGUGGUUAAGGCUAUGGAUCGCCAAUCCGGCGACGGCGGGUUCGAUUCCCGU
rnacentral:tRNA from 1 species